rnacentral:lncRNA from 1 species
UAGGUGCAGGAGCAGGUGUAGGUGCAGGAGCAGGUGUAGCUACAGGAGCAGGAGCAGGUGCAGGUGUAGGUGCAGGAGCAGGUGUAGGUGCAGGAGCAGGUGCAAGUGCAGGAGCAAGGGCAGGUAUAGGUGCAGGAGCAGAUGAAGGAGCAGGUGUAGGUGCAGGAGCAGGUGUAGCUACAGGAGCAGGAGCAGGUGUAGGUGUAGGAGCAGGUGUAGGUGCAGGAGCAGGUGUAGGUGCAGGAACAGGAGCAGGUGAAGGAGCAGGCAGUUAUAAGUGCAGAAGCAGGUGCAGAAUCAGGUGCAGGUGAAAGUACAGGAGAAGAUACAGAUGCAGGAACAGGUGUAGGUGUAGAAGCAGGUGUAGGAGCAGGUACAGAUGCAGGAGUGAGUGUAGAUGCAGAUGCAGGUUCAGGAGCAGGUGAAGGAGCAGAUGUAGGUGCAGGAGCAGGUACAGGUAUUCAUAUGGACAUGAUUAGAGGUGAUGACAUGAGAACUGGCUAUCAUGACUAUGGAAGCUGA